rnacentral:lncRNA from 1 species
UGUAAAAAGUAAUGAAACAAAAAAAAAUGAAAAGAGUAUUAAUUUGAAUAAUAGUUAUAAUUUGAAUAAAAAUAUGAACGUUCAUACAAAUUUGUUUCCAAUAUCCAGUAAUGUGUUAAGUGAUAGUGCUAAUACUAAUGGUAAUGUUUUUUUAAAAAAAAAGGAUAGUGGUAAAGAUAGUGGCAAAGAUAGUGGUAAGGAUAGUGGUAAAGAUAGUGGUAAAGAUAGUGGUAAGGAGAGUGAUAAAGAUAGUGGUAAAGAUAGUGAUAAAGAUAGUGAUAAAGAUAGUGAUAGUUAUAAUGAAGAAACGUUUAAAAAAAAUAUGAAUGUUGUAGAAUUAAGUUUUAGUGUAAUAAAUAAAUGGAAUAACCCCAUCGAUUUGGUAGAGUUUGUAAAAAAUAAUUUAAAAAAUAACGAAUUUAUGUACAUAAAAAGGUAAGCCAUAAAAUAUGAACUAAGUAUUUUUUUUUUUUUUUUUUUCCAUUUUUUGUUAGCUACCCACUUGUUAGGAGUUAAAACUAAUCAUGUAUUAUUAUUACGUUUUUAACAUGUGUCCUAUUUUUUUUUUUUUUUUUUUUUUUUUUUUUUUUUUUUUUUUUUUNNNNNNNNNNNNNNNNNNNNNNNNNNNNNNNNNNNNNNNNNNNNNNNNNNNNNNNNNNNNNNNNNNNNNNNNNNNNNNNNNNNNNNNNNNNNNNNNNNNNUUUUUUUUUUUUUUUUUUUUUUUUUUUUUUUUUUUGUUUAAUUUUAACCACUUCUUUACUGUAUAUAUAUAUAUAUAUACAUACCUGUAUUUAUAUAUUUUUCACCACUUUUUAUAGAUUAGGCAACAACAGAUAUGAAAAAGUAAGUUGUGCAAACAAAAAAGACCCUAAUAUAAUGUCAAUUUCUUUAAACGGAGUUUUGGUUAAUGAAAAAAAUGAUACGAUAUUUUAUGAACUCAAUGAAUGGAAAGACAAUGUAAUUUUAUUAAAGAAUGCUAAAAAUUUAAAAUUUGUUAAAAAGUACCAUUUAUAUAAAUAUUUUUUUUUACUAAAAAAUAUGAUAAAAUAUAAUAAAUUUCGAAAUAGAAAAAAUUAUAUACAAAAUAAUUUAUUACAUUUAAAUAAACAAUUGUUUAUAGCUUUAAUACAAAUACAUACAAUAUUACAAGAGUUAAAUGAAAUUAAAAUAAUUGAUACUAAUAUAAAUAAUAUGAGUAUAGACGAUUUUAAAGAAUUACAAAAUGAUUAUAUUGUUUAUUUUAGUAGAACAUUAAAAAUAAAUUUAAAAAAUAUCGUAGAUAUAAUAUGCAAACAUUCUACAAAAGCAUUAUAUGAUUACUUAAGUAGUAAUGGGAUAAAUCAAGAAGAUAUAUCGGUUUCGAAAAACGCUCGGUUUAGUCUUGUUGCCAAAACAAGCACAAUUUCAGCUCUUACAACUGCUACUGUCACAACUUCUGCAGCCACGGCUCCUACUACUGCUAUUACUACACUUUCCAAAGCAAGGGAAAAAAAUAAAAAAAAAAAAGUGCUAGUAAAAAAAAGUAAAAAAGUAAGUACAAAUAUACCCAUAACUAUGCGUCAAAAUGUACCUACAACUGUGAACCAAAAUGCAACCACAACUGUUCAACAAAAUGCAACCAUAGAUGUAAAUAUUUAUUACAAUAAAAUCACAUUAAGUAGUUGUUUUGCUAUUUAUAUAAAAAAGUUUAUAAGCCUGAAUCAAUACUUAUGUAAUAACACGUUGAGGAAUAUUAUUAUUAAUACAUAUGAAUAUCUUCUUAAGUUAUUAAAUGUUUAUUUUGUAGAAUGUGAUGAAGGUGAUAAUAACUUGACUAAUAUUUCUACAGUUAAAAGUAGAGAUGCAAUUUUAAGAACAGGUGUUAUGGAUAAUGUUAAUGCAGGAAAUAAUAAUAACAUAAUGCCAUUAUCUUUACAAAGAAACAAUAUAAUUAAGGAAGGUGUACAUACUGUGGAUAAAUUACAAACACAAGAAGAACAAAAGAUUAGUAAUAAUAUUACAAAUAUAUUAACAUGUAAUGAAAAAUAUAGCAACAUAAACAAAGUAAAUAAUAAAAUAAGAUAUAAACUAAAAGAAUUAGACGGUGAUAAUAAUAAUAAUAAUAAUGAUACUAUUAUGGGUAGUGGUAGUCCUACAAAUACAGUUACAAAUAAAAACACGAACGAAAAUAAUAAAAACAUCAGUUCUUUUGGUAAAAAUAUAAUUAACAUUUAUGAUAGAAGUCAUAGCGCACAAAAUAAAAUAAACGAAGUAUGUUUAUUUAAUAUAGUAAUAACAAUAGAAGAUAAUAAACCUAAAAUAAGACCAGAAUUAGAUUUUUUAAUAAAUACAAUAGAAUAUUAUAUUAACAUUAAUAUAAAAUGUUUAAAUAAUAGAGAACCGUUUAUUAGUGAUGUUAAAAUAAAAAAUUUUUUUAAAAAUGAGAUUUAUGUUGAUAGCAUUAUAAGUAGUAACAAGCAGGAUUAUGAUUAUACUAACCAUAACAACAGUGUAGAAAAUAUAACCAGUGGUAAUGUAACCAGUGUUAAUGUAACCAGUGUUAAUGUAACCAGUGUUAAUGUAACCAGUGGUAAUGUAACCAGUGGUAAUGUAACCAGUGGUAAUGUAACCAAUCGCAAUACAACCAAUCGCAAUACAACCAAUCGCAAUACAACCAAUCGAAUUACAACCAGUGGUAAUACAACCAGUGGAAAUGUAACCAAAGUAGUACACUAUACAAAUCCUAAUCAACCAAACGAAGUCGAUACGUUUAGUUUUUCUUCUGAUGAUUUAUUAUACCAAUUAAAUUACGAAGUUAAACAUAAAAUAUCGAUUUUGUAUAAUUCGAUGGUAAACAGUUGUAAUUAUUUAUACGAAAUAAUAGAAUUAUUUAAUAAAUACAAAAGUGUAAACAUAAAAGAGUUAGAUAUAAUGAACGUUAGUAUGGUUUCCAAUUUAUUUAUAUCUUUAAAAGAUUUAGAAAAUCGUAUAAAAAAAAUAAAUAAACAAACAAAUGUAAAUAUAUUUAAAGUGGAUAGUAGUAUAUUAACAAAUAGUUUAUUAAAAAGUAUAAAUACAUUAUGGGAUGAUAUAAUAAAAUAUUUACCUUCGCUUAAUAAAGAAGUUAUUGAUACGUUAGCAAAUAAAUUAAACAAUGCAUAUUCUAUUAUUACUAAAACACCAAAUAAUAUAUUCGAACUUGUAAAAUAUGUUGAUUUUAUUAAUUCAUUUAACAACGAAUUAGUAACAAUAGAUGAAUCAAUUGAAUCUAUCACUACUAUGUUUUUAUUUUUUAAAAAAUAUUAUAUAACUAUUGAUGGAAAUAAUACAACUAAGUUAUUCUAUAUAAAUCAAAAAAUGAAUGCAGUAAAAAGUAUACUAUUAAAUAAAAAUGCUUAUAAUUUACAAUUUAAAGAUCUAUAUGAAGACUUAGAAAAAUAUAUAAGUUCUAUAGAAAAACAAAUUCAAAAAUAUAUAAGUAUUAUGAAGUUAAAUUUUUUUAAAUUUGAUUUUACAUUAUUUACUCUUGAGGAUAUACAGAAUAUGCUUAAAUGUGUGGUUCCUAUAAAAGACAUUACCGAGGUGUUUUACGAUGUAUCACGUGUGGGUGUUCAUACAAAAGGGGGAGUUCCCACAGACUCUACACCCGAUACAUCUAAUACAUCCAAUACAUCUAAUACAUCCAAUACAUCUAAUACACCAAAUACAUCUAAUACACCAAAUACAUCUAAUACAUCUAAUACACCCGGUACUUUCCACACCUCCCACACAGAUGACGUACUCGAAAAUUUAUACAACGAAACAAACAAAAUUCUGUCGACCCUAAAAAUAAACGAACAAAACGAAAUUGUGUUAUUAUUCCCAUCAGGUACCAUAACAAAAUAUAACGUGUUUGAAUUUAUGGAAUAUUUUCGUGAAAAAAUUGUUUAUAUAAAAAAAGAUGUAGAAACAUAUAGUUACUACCAAAAUAUUUUAAAAAAUGUAAAAAAUGAUUUUGUUAAUUUUAGUUUACUUUGCAAUGUAUAUACAAAUAGUACAUUAAUUAUUUUUACAUUUUAUAAAUACAUAUAUUUUAACGAAAUGUAUAAAAAUGUAAAUAUAUUUAGUAGUAAUUUAGAACAAAUAGAAAAAGAGUUUAAUGAGAUAAAUAUAUAUUAUUUAGGAGUGAAUAAAAAUUUUGUUAAUUAUGAAAUGUAUGAAAAAUGUAAGCGCUUUUAUAUAACAUAUGAAAAAGUUUUAAAAAUUGUAAAAAUGCUUUUAUUCAUAUCGGAUAAUAAAAAAUAUUUCAACAAAGCAAUUGAUGUAUUAAAACAGUUUAAAAAAGAUGAAGGAGAAGAAAAUUUAAAUCGUUUAUAUUUGCUAUGUGUAUCUACUACCAUAGAUACUAGUACUUUGGAAGAAAGUACAAUUAACAAUACUCUUCCUUACGACCAUAAAAAAAUAAAAACUCACGACCUGUUUUUUCUUUACUCUUUAGUUAGGACACAAGAAAUAGAAACAAUCUGUUUAGAAUAUGAAAAAGAAGAAGAAAUAAAUAAAAACUUUGCAAAAAUAAAAACGUUACUAAAAACAUAUAAAUUAGAUGUUAUUUUAAUUAAUAAAACUUUAUAUUUUAUUAACCAUAUAGAUACAGUAUUAUCAAACUUGAAAAAAAUAUUAUUAGAACUUUUACAAAUAGGAAAUGAUUUUUUUAGUAAAUAUAUAUAUACAGAACUAUUUACCUUAUCCAAAAAUAUAAUCCAUUUUAGUAACAUUCUUUAUAUAGUAAAAAAAAUACAAAUAUACUAUCAACAGUUUGAAAAGUAUAAAAAUGUAGACAUAUUAAAAGAAAUGGAAUUAUCUGAAAAAAAUUCGAUAAAAUCAUAUAUAAGUGGUGAAAAACAAAUCAAUAGAAAGGAAAUAAAAAUAUCCAGUGUUGAAAAUGUGGGAAAUGUUAUAAACACAUAUAAAAAUGUAUGUGAAGAGUUUUUUGUAUAUCCACAAAUAGUUAAACAUAUUGAAAAGGAGCAUAAAUUAAUUUAUUAUAAGGAUGUACUAUUCUUUUUUAAAACUAUAAUAAAAAAAAUUGAAACAUAUAUGAUUAAAAAAAAAAGAAUCGAAUUUUAUACUUUUUAUUUAUUAACAAAUAAAACAUUUUUACAUAUAUAUCCUGAUUUAACAAAUUUAAAAAAAAUAAACAUAUAUGUAAAUAAAAUGUUUCCAUAUAUUUAUAAAUUAAUAUGUCAAAAUGAAUCCAUCUGUGGUGUUAUUACUACUAACAAUGAAAGAAUGAUAUUCAAAAAUAAAAUACAAUUUAAAAAAUUAAAAUAUUUACUACACGAAAUUAACAGUUCUAUAAAAAGUUAUAUGAUCGACACUAUACAACAUUAUGUUAAAAAUAAAACCUUUUUUCAACCAUUAAAAUUAGACACUUAUCUAUUUUUUAUUAACAUCGAUAAUUUACAAUUUCUAUAUAUUUUACUCAAUAUAUAUUUUACGUAUGUGUUAGAUUUUUUUUUUCAAAAUGUGAAUAAAAACAAAGAAAUCUUUAAUUAUUUGAUGCAAAAUGUUUCUCAGUUAGUUCAUAGGUUGGAAGAGUGGGAGGGAACACAUGGUGACAGUACGCAUGGUGACAGUACGCAUGGUGACAGUACACAUGGUAACAGUACACAUGGUAACAGUACACAUGGUGAUAGUACACAUGGUGAUAGUACACAUGGUGAUAGUACGCAUGGUGAUAGUACGCAUGAUGGAAAUAAACACAAGACUAUAACCCAUCAACCCCGUUUGAAUGCUUACACUAAUAAAAAUCAGAUAAUGUCAAAACUGUCAAACAAUAUGAAACAAUCAAAUAUCAUGCAGUUGUCAAGCAAAACAAAAGCGUCAAACAUAGUGCAUGUACCAGGUACAAUGCACAUGCCAAGCAAAAUGAAAACAUUAAAUAAGAGGAAUAUACCAAAAAACAUCAUAUUUUUGUUAACAUUUUUUAUGUACAUAAAAGACAAAAUUCAAAAAAUAUUAUUAAAUUUUGAACAGAAUGAUACUUGUAUAAAUAACAACAGUUAUAAUUAUCUAGAACAAAUAAAACAUUAUUAUAUAAAAGAUACUUACUAUAUUAAUUUUUUCCAUUACAAUAUACCUUACCGAUUUGAACUGCUUAAUAAUGUUAAUUAUACUUUGGAUAUUAUAUAUAAUGAACAAAAUUUUAAUUUUUUUUUUUAUAAAUAUAUUGCUAGUAAUUAUAUUACAAUAUUUGGAAACAUAGCUGACUCAUGUUCAUAUUAUUUAGCUAAUAAAUUUUCAACUCUUUUAGGUUUCCAAUUUAUAUUAAUUAAUCAUGUAAAUUUAAAAAAAGAAAAUAUUCUAAAUUAUAUUUCAUGUAGCUUAUGUUCAAACGUUUCUUUUUUUUUUCACGAUGUUGAGAAAUAUAAAAAAAAAUUAAAAGAAAUAUUAUAUACUCAGUUAUCAAACAUAAGUUGUUAUUUUUCUCAUAAUAAAAAAAACAUUAUGAUAGAACAUACAGAAUUAUCUUUAAAAUUUAAACCACUGAUAUAUUUGUCAUUAAAUGGAGAUACUGCUUAUAAUACACCUAUAUGUACAUAUUAUAAUGACAUUUAUUUAUCACAUCAAGAUAUCAUACCUAACUUAUAUUCUUCUUUCUAUACUUACCAACCAGUAUUACCUCUUUCAGUUUCGCUCUUAUAUCUUUUUUUUUAUCCUUUUGGUUAUGCUAAAGCUUGCUUUCUAUCGCAGUCUACAAGCCGCAUUUUUUUUUAUCUAAAACUGCAGGUACGUGUUAAAAAAAAAAAAAAAAAAAAAAAAAAAAAAAAAAAAAANNNNNNNNNNNNNNNNNNNNNNNNNNNNNNNNNNNNNNNNNNNNNNNNNNNNNNNNNNNNNNNNNNNNNNNNNNNNNNNNNNNNNNNNNNNNNNNNNNNNAAAAAAAAUAAAAAAGAAGAAGUGGAAGAAAAGUAUUACAUCGUUAAAGAAAUAAUAAAAUAUAUAUAUCGCUUUGUUGAUAGCUACAAACUGAAAGAAAUUGUAAAAGAUAUUUGUGUUAUAUAUAAUGCUUCAAAAGAAACAUAUGAAAGACUAAUAAGUUAUGUAGAACAUAUGGAUGAACAAGAUCAGGAAGAAUAUUAUGAAGUUGAUGAAAAUGAAAGUGAAAGUGUAUUAACAGAAGAAAGAAAGAGAAAGAUAAAAUAUAAACAAACGGAUGGUGAAGUGGUAGGUAAAAUGGUUGGCAGUAAGAUGGUUGGCAGUAAAAGAGAUGACACAACAUUAACAACCGAAAACGACAAUAAUUAUGAUCAUAAUGGUAAAACAUUUAAUGAAAAAAUAGAUUAUAUAAUAAAAGAACUAAUGAAUAAAAAAGAAAAUAAUAAAAUGUUAUUUUUACAAUACCAAGUGAAUAAAGCUAUUGAAAUGUUUAAAAUUUUAUUCUUGAAAAAAGUAAAAGAAAACAUAACUGAAAUAGGUAAAACUAUGCAUUAUAAUAAAACAAAAAGAGUAACAAAUGUACUGAUAAUAGGACAAAAUUAUUCAGCUAUUAGUACUAUUAUAUAUAUUUUAUGUAAUUUUUUAACAAAAUUGAAGAAAAAUAAUAAUAGUUAUGUUUAUGAUAAAUGUACAUAUAAAAAUAUCAAUCUCAAAUACAUUUCGGAUAAAAAUAUUUUUUAUUAUUUUUUUCAAAACAUGGAAAAAGAAACACCAAUAAAUUUAAAUGCAUCUGAAGAUAUGUUAACUAAUAUGGAUAAUAUUGCUGGUGAUAAAAGUAGUAACACUAGCAACAAUAGUGACAGUAGCGAUAGGAGUAUUAACAGUCGAAGUAAUAUACAACAGAGUAAGCAAAAGUUAAAAAUGGUCGAUUCUGAUGAAGAAAAUGUAGAAUUUAGUUUGAAAGGUGCACUAAAUGAGGAAAUAGUUACAAGUAAAAAAAUGGGUACUACAUUUUUGAACAAGUCUAAGUUGACAAGUAAUAUAUUAAACAAACAGCAGAAUAAAAGACCAAUGAAACAACAAAAGAAAACUAUUACCAAAUCAGCUGAUAAAUACGAAACGCUUGAACAGAAGGUGUUUUACUCAAAAGAAAAACAACAAGAGUUAGAUGAAGAUAAUAAUAUACUACUAAAUUAUAUAAAAGUUAAAGAUACAAAUUUAAUAGAAAAAAUAUGCAACUAUACAAUAAAAACAAAUAUGUAUACCAUGAUAAAUAAAAAAAAUGAUGAUAAUAUAAAUCAUACUUGUUUUAUUUUUAAACCUGAUAAUUUAUAUACAAUUUCUCCAUAUAUUUUUAACAAUAUAUAUUUUGUUAACGUUAAAAAAACCGUACCAUAUAUUUAUUUUCUUACUUACAUGGUUGAACAAAUAAAAAUAUAUAAAUAUAUAAAAAAAAAAAUAAUAAAAAUAGCUGAUGAAUUAAUAGUUGAAACUAUUAACUUUUUUAAAAAACAAAGAGAGGUUAUUAAAGUCGUUGGAAAAAAAAAAAAUAAAAUAACACAUUGCCACUUUGAUGUAAAACAAAAUGGGAAAAAUGGGAAAAAUGGGCAAAGCGAAAAAAAUGAGCAAUAUAAGCAACAUGAACAAAAUCGUGCCUCUGUUUUAUACAAUCAGACGAUGGAAUAUGCUACAAAUGAAUUGAACGAAUUCGGGAUAGGUACUAGUGAUAAUCUGAUAACAUCCUCAACAAAUAAACACAUGGAUAGUGAAGAUGCCAAAGUCGUAAGAAUUGGUGACGACAUUUACAAUGAGUAUAGCAAUUUAGACAACUCCAGGGUAGAAGAAGGAGGAGGAAACAAAAGAAAAAAAGAAAAAAAAAACGGUAUAAAUAAUGGUAUAAAUAAUGGUAUAAAUAAUGGUAUAAAUAAUAGUAGCAACAUAAAUAAUGACAGUGAUGAAGAAUUUUUUAACGAAACAAAUAAAGGGAUCUUAAAUAUUUUGCAUUAUAAUGAUACAUAUACUACUAUACAUAUAAAUAGUCUAAUUAGUACGUUUGUAAAAUUAAUUAUACAUUUUUUAACCGAAUUAAAAGAUAAAAAAGAAUAUACUAAAAAAAUUAUUGACAAUCAUAUAAAUAAUAUUAUUACCAUCAGUUUUAUUUACACAUUUACAUGUUUUUUAAAUACUAAAAUAAGAAAUUCUUUUGAAAGUUAUAUCUUUAAAAGCAUAAAUAAUAUAUCUAUUAUUCCAAGAAAUACUUCUUUUAUAUAUAUUUACUACAACAUAGAAUCCAAUAAAAUAUUAAAACAUGAUAAUAUUCAUAUUAAUGAAAAUAUAAAUAUAAAUACAAAAAAAUUAAUAAACAAUUAUUUAUUUUUUAAUAAUGAAUAUUUUCUUUUUAAUGAUUCUAAUACCUUAUCAAUAAAAAGAUUUUUUGAAAUAAGUUUUAAUUUAGGUAUGCCAUUUGCCGUAAUGGGAAAUCCCUGUUCGGCUAAAUCAUUGUGUGUUAAAAACUGUCUAGAAUCAUAUUUAAAAAAACAAAUAAAAAAUAAUAAUAAUAAUAUAUAUUAUUUUAAUUUUCGAUUUAAUUAUAUGUUUAAGUAUACACAAAUCGUUAAUAAAUUGAAAAAAAUAUUUCAAUUCACGAGUGAGUACAUACCUGAAGAUGUACUUAUAUUUAUUGAUGACAUUAAUUGCCUGGGUUCGGAGCGUACUCAGUAUACUAUGGACUUUCUCUACAAUUUGGCUGUUUCGAAGAGUUACCUGGUGACUAACGAAAACAGAAAAGUGUAUCUGCCUAACAACAAAAUCGUUUGUACUUUAGAUAAUGAACAUAUUGUAGUCGAAGAAAAUGAUACACAUAAUGUUUCCAAACUUUAUAAAAAGUUUUUAGUUCUAAACUUAUCGAGCAUAGGAUUAAAAGACAUACAUAACAUCUACUCAAACAUUAUUGAGUUUUUAUUUAUGAAACAUAACUUUUGCGACGAACUGAUCAUCGAGUGCAACAACGUAAUCUCAUGUAUCCUAAAAACAUCCGAAGAAAUAAGUCAUAAAAGAAAAGAAAAUACAUUUUCCAUACAUACGAACAAACUAACUAAUGUAAUAAAUUAUUUGCUUUUAUACAAUAAGGAGUGUAGUAAUAAAAUAAACGAUAUCAUGCUAUGUUUUCAAAACGAUAUGUGUCGUAUUUAUUGCGAUGAUGUUAUGUAUUGUAAAGAAAAAAUAAAGUAUACAAAUAUUAUUAAAAAAAAUUUUAAUAAAUAUUUUUCCAAAUAUAUAGUAAAUAAUAAAAAAAAAAACUUAUUUUUGAAUUAUUAUGAAAAUAGAUACAUCAUAGAAAAUGAAAAGAAAUUUAGUGACACAAUUUACUACAACAGUAAUAAUGAUAGAUCAUUACAUCUAGACAUGAUAAAAAACUUAUUUAGUAAUAAAAAAAUUGAUAUAUUAUAUAAAUAUUUAAUAAAAAUAAUAAUAAAAAUAAAUUCAUAUUUACUAUUAAAAAGAAGUAAUAUUAUUUUUUUAAACAAACAAUAUACUUUAUUAAAAAAAAUCAUAGAAAUUUAUUGUUAUAUAAAAAAUUAUAAUGGUUUAUUUUUAACUAACAAUGAAAAAGAUAUUAAAAAAAAAAAUUAA